ensembl:lncRNA
GGCGCAUGGAGUCAGAGAGAAGCCGUGCAACUGCAGCUGGACACUCUGUUCGCAUUUGUUGUUGAGGACUACAUAGCAAUGUCGUCUUAGGGGAUACUGACAACUGACUACACAAUCUGAAAAUACAGAUGACUACCCAAGCCCUGUAAACAGCCAUCUACAGAUAAGAUCAUUAUUUCUUCCUAACUGUAUCACACAGGAAAACAUGCAGCAGUGGUUUUCCCGCAGGCCAAUUGAUGCUUUCCACCUGCAAAUAUCGGAUCCUGUAUUUUUCCACUCAGAAAAACACAUAUUGUGAUUUUCCGUUGUUUGGAAAGUAGCUAAGAGGAAUGUUUGGGCCUCAUAUUUAGACAAGUGCAUUUCCAGGGAGUAUUGUGGAAGAAAGCGUCAUGCUUUUGCAUACCAGAGCAGCAGAGUUAAUAAAAUCCCGACAAUUCCUGCCCCACUAUCUUGGUGGUAAUAAAACAGAGUGAAAUGUGGAACUAUAAAUAGACACUGAAUAUCUAAUAAUAUCACACAAUGGGGGCCUGCCAAUACUGAGCUCACACUGUGUUCUACUGAACUCGGAGUGGAAAUCAAUCACAGCUUCAUCUGUUCAAGAACCAAACACCACAUUGUUUUGAUUUCUUGUAUAUGUAAUGUAAGAAGCUAUUUUUGUGGCAAUUUAAAAAAAAAAACAGAGAGAGAGGUCUUGGCUUACUGAUCUUGAUAUAUAAGCCAUUAAACCAUGGGUGGUCAGAUUGAUUUUGAUCAUGAGUACACUCUGUUUUGGAAAAAUGGGGAUUGUGCUAAAACAUAGAUCACUGAAUCAUCUUUUGGUCCUGGUGCCACGUUGUUGCCAUGACAGCACUGUGUAUGUAUUGAGGGUGUUCAAAUGCAUGACUCGUACCUCCAUAGACCCAUUAAAUCUGCCACUUUGUGUUCUAAAGUCGUAUCACAACAGACGUCACAUUGGCACAAACGCUUAGAGAAAUGCAGCCUGCAGACAUGGUGAGGAUGAUGACUGGAGUCGUGGUUGUACUUGCAAUGUGGGCUGGGAUUACAUCAGCUGCAUGCAGGUCAACACAAGUUGGAGGCUAAAGAUUGUGAACAAACUAAGCAGUUUAUUAGAGCACUUUCACACCUGUAGUUCUGUUAACUUUGGACUGACUAAGUGAAAAAUGCUAAACGGUUGCCUGGACCAGACUAAAAGCAGAGAGACCCCACAACAAUUAAAAGUUGAAGUUGGCUACAGCAAAGACCUGGGAGAGUAUCUCUAGGGAAAAUGUCCUCAGUGUUUUUGAAAUGUUUGCUGGUUUUUAAAUUUAUUUAGUAUAUUAUUGUUGAAAAAUCAGAUAUUUUAUUUACUACAGUGACCUCAGAAGACUUACAUUUACAAUUUAGGUACAGUUUUAGCUAAAGUCUUUGUUAAAAUUGUAUUUAAGCCUAAAAUCAUGCAGAACUAAGCGUGUAAGGAACCACAGACAUUUCCAUGGUGACCUCUGGGGUUUUUUUUGGAUUGGCCAUGAAUUAGGUCAGACUACUGCCAAGAUAGCACCAGCCAUUCACUGAGCUUCAAACCUGCCGUGAGGAAACUUAAAGGUGAUGUCACAAAGGAUCCAGAUAUUCAUACAGAAUAUUGUGGAGUAACGGAAUAUAGACAUUUAAGGCUUUCACAUAAUUAGUAUGAAAAAAUUAGUUGUAUUCUGUUAGUUACAGAACAAAAGAAGUAAUCCGAUUACUGAUACAUUUAGUGAAAACAGAUUAUCAGGAAUAGAAUUUCAAAAUACAUUUCUAAAUAGACUAAAGAGCAAUAAACUAUCUUGCCUGGGUUCCCAACUCUCAUGCAUUUGGCAGAAGACCGCAUUAGUUUAUGUCUGUCCAGAUAAACAACAGCAACAACACUGGUCCACAAACAUUACGGACAGUGGAACAGAUACAGUUCUCUCAUUUUGAGUUUUGCCUCAUUGACUUUGCUCUAUAAUGUCACAUCAAAUACAAACUGAAAUGUCAAUAAAAAUACAACUUUACGGCGAUGAAGAGUCUGUAUCUGUAUAAUCCAGGCUUUGAAAUAUUAAUCAGACAGCAGCAGGAUCUAUAUGAGCGUCUCCAAAGAAUGAGAGUCGUGCAUAUUUACACACAUGGGACAUCAGUGGUAACUUCCCUCAUCACUUAGAAACUGGCCCUGACAUGUAGGAAUGAGCGAACAGGAUUUAACCACAGUGUAUUUUUCUGCACAUCAGACAGUUAAGAUGUCACACAGAAUCACAGUUUAUAAGGUGCAGUUACAGCAUUUGUCACAAAGCGGCCAUCCUCAGGUUGAGUCCUGAGCUACGUUAUAUUUUUGUUUUUCUGUAAUGUCACGUGUUUUAUCGUGGAUAUUUUUCUUUUUCUCUG